CUAGUAGCCACUAACCACAAACACUCAAUCUGUGGUCAAGUUGAACUAUGUGCUGACUAGAAAUAUCUUAGUUGUUCUAGAGUAUUCUUACACUAAGCAAUUCUGGACUAUUCUAUGUAUUGUUCUGGUUUGUACUAGAACUGUUUUGUUUUGUAUUUAAAACAGUUCAGUUUUGUGUGUAAGGUGUGUUAUUCGUGCGUGUUCUUUAUUGUUCAAGACAGCUAUUAAAAGUCAAUUCUCCUAUAGUCAAGAGUACUACGUUACACCCUACUUGUAUGUAGACAUCACCUCCCCUCUGUUGUUGUUCAACAACUCACCUCAAAUCAGUGGGAGAGAUCUGACAGCUUUCUACAACCUGACAGGCUGUGCCAGGGUAACUUGUAAGGUCAGGAAUCAAGAAGAUUGUUCUCAACGUAUCGGUAGUUUCGAGGGUGUGUGGGGUUUGGACAGAGUGCGAUCAAUAGGAGGACACUGCGACAGUUUAAACUCGCAAGUCGUCACUGUUGCAGGCAAACAGUAGACUGGUCAAACUCCGUGUAGAGACUCGUGUUGCACAGUCAGCAUAUCAGAUAAGAUUCUAACUGGCUGCGGUUUUCGUGACGUCACUAUACUGCUGUGCUACGUAGAGUUUUCUAGUGAUACGUCACUAUCAACGAUAUUGCGGUAACCGCAUGCGGUUAGUUGCCACAAAUAUCGUGGCAAACCUUACACGAGUCUCUACACGGAGUUUGACCAGUCUACUGUUCGCCUGCAACAGUGACGGCUUGCGAGUCUAGCGACAGUUUACUAUUACUGUGGAUGCAUACUGUCCCAACCAGAUAGUCCCAGUGUUUGAGGACAGGCCAAUCAGAAGUGAUAAUACUCAGUGCAGUCAGCACUUCACUGACCAACAGUACAAGUUUGACCCCGUCUCUGGAAAUGUGACUGUGGAGUGGGAGGGAACUGGACCCGAUGCAACUGUUCAAGUCACCCAGUUCAUGUGCAUAUUACCCAAUACGGGCAUAUUUUCCUGUAUUAGUCCCCUUGUCAUCACCAGUCUGUCCCCUGGAAGCCACACCCUCUUCGUCACACCAGUGGGAAUCAGUGGGUGUACAAGGAUGAGCCCUACGAGCUUACUUAUAACCAUCUGAACAAACUCAUAAAAUAAUAAUUAUGCAGACAUACAUUUGUGCUCCUCCUAUUCAUAACGCCUCUCAGAUUAAGCAUCAUUAUCAUAGCUGUCAAUAAUAACAUGUUCAUCAAACAGAAAACAGAACAUUGUAGCUGUCAAGUUUACUCAUGUAGACUAUAUAUUUUGUCAUUGUGGUGUAGCAACACACUAAAAUAUAUUUGUUUAGUUAAUGAUCUUUACCCACCUGUAACCGAUCUCCGAACAAUGGUCUGAUGUUGUGUUUGUAGAUCCUCGAGUGUGACACAGUACGUACUGACAUUGAUCAGCUUGUCUCCAAUCCCUGGAUUAACAGGUCAAUUAAUCUACUUGCCGUAAUGUAAUUUCCGACCCUCUGUGGCACCAUACAUGCAUUCCCCCUAUUGACGGCUAUUAUCACUUGCAAUCAUGCACCCGCAUGUCCCCUCCCCGGCAGUGUUGGACUACAUUGAUCUCUCCACCACCUUCACAUUCUCUUCUGGCACCUUGAGUGCAUGUAUGCAGUUAUCGGCCAUUGAUGACAGUACGUACGUCAGUCUCCGUACGAGUCCACAGAAAGGUUGAGUGUAGAGCUGGAGUCCACUGACCCCUAAGUCACUGUAUAUCCACUCCCUCCGUACUCGUCACUCUAAUGGACAAUAAUGAUGGUCAGUGAUAUAAAUACGUAAUAGUCUAG